rnacentral:miRNA from 1 species
AUGCUCAGUUAAAUUUGAAUUUCUGAUAACAAUAAAUAAUUUUUUAGUUUAAGUAUAUCCCAUGCAAUAUUUGGGACAUAUUUAUACUAAAAAAUUUAUUCAUUGCUUAUAUGAAAUUCAAUUUUACCUGAGAAUCCUGUA